UUAGGAUUUGAAAUAGCUCAACUGGAAUUCCAACACCUCCACUAGCUUUGUUUGUAGUGAUGCUUCGUAAGGCCCACUUGACUUCACAUUCCAGGAUGUCUGGGUCUAGGUCCACAGUAUUUCACGUGGCUCAGUGGGUAAAGAAUCCGCCUGCUGAUGCUGCAAGAGACACAGGAGAUGUGGAUUCGAUCCCUGGGUUGGGAAGAUCCCCCUGGAGGAGGAAAUAGCAGUUCACUCCAGUAUUAUUGCCUGGAGAAUCCUGUGGACAGAGGAGCCUGGCAGGCUCUACAGUCCAUGGAGUGGAAAAGAAUCAGACACAACUGAAGUGACUGAGCAUGCACGCAGAACCUGUUAACCAAGUGCAAGGGGAAGAAAGAUACAGGCAAACAUGAAGAGCGUGUGUUACUCACAGGUCUUCCCUGACGAAGCAAUGAAGGACAUAAUCCAGGAAGGAGAGAAUAGUUCAGAAGAAAGGAGUGAGAUUCAGGAAGAAUGGGGAGCAGAGGGAUAGGAGACCAUGAGGGCAGAUCCUCAGACACUGGUUGACCACAACAGCAAAGAUGACGGUGGCCUAUUUGGAUGGUUAACAGCAAUGGAGAGGGGGUUCCAGAGAGGCGAAGGCUGUGGCGGCAGGGGUUUGGAAUUUCUGUGAUUCCCUCCGUAUUGUAGGAACAGAUACUAGAGAGCAAAACCAGAAAUCCCACUGGUACUUCUAUCUAGCCCAGGUGACACAGUGGUAAAGAAUCCUCCUGCUAACACAGGGGAUGCAAGACCCCUGGGUCAGGAAGAGCCCCUGGAGAGGGAAAUGGCAGCCCGCUCCAGUAUUCUUGCCUGGAAAAUCCCACGGACAGAGGAGCCUCACAGUCUACGGUCCAUGGGGUCACAAACGACUGAGCAACUGAGCACGCACACAUUGAACCAUUAGAAGUCAACAACAAAACCAGCUGAACUCAGACGUCCACUGCUCUCCGCUGACCAGUGAUCUCCUGAGCCUUCCCUUCUGAGACCCGCCCUGCAGGCAGCACCUGGUCUUGGGAUGGAUUGAAGAAAGCUGAGGACAUUUAGGGUGUCCCGACAGAGUGCCUACAGGAGCAGGAUAUACAUGACCCCAAACACGGGACACGUCCAUGUGGGCAGCCUACACCUCUCUGAACCUCUUGGUCCAAAGGAUAUCCCAGGAAGUGCUCAUCACUUGAUUGAGGAGCCAGGUUCACUGCUGGCGUCCUUCCCAAGGAUGCUGAAAUCUUUUAAAAAACUAAUUUUUCGGCCGUGUGGGAUCUAGUUCCCUGGCCAGGGACCGGACCUGCAGCCCCUUCAUUGGAAGCGUGGAGUCCUAACCACUGGACCACCAGGUAUUUGAAGCCAACCCCUUCAGGAUGCUGACUGUCAUAUCCCAAAUGAACACCAGGUGGCGUCCAGGCUCCGUGCUGGUCCUGGAGACCCCAGAGGCAGG
ensembl:lncRNA